rnacentral:rRNA from 1 species
CCUACGGGAGGCAGCAGUAGGGAAUCUUCCACAAUGGGCGAAAGCCUGAUGGAGCAACGCCGCGUGGGUGAAGAAGGUCUUCGGAUCGUAAAACCCUGUUGUUAGAGAAGAAAGUGCGUGAGAGUAACUGUUCACGUUUCGACGGUAUCUAACCAGAAAGCCACGGCUAACUACGUGCCAGCAGCCGCGGUAAUACGUAGGUGCCAAGCGUUAUCCGGAUUUUUUGGGCGUAAAGGGAACGCAGGCGGUCUUUUAAGUCUGAUGUGAAAGCCUUCGGCUUAACCGGAGUAGUGCAUUGGAAACUGGGAGACUUGAGUGCAGGAGAGGAGAGUGGAACUCCAUGUGUAGCGGUGAAAUGCGUAGAUAUAUGGAAGAACACCAGUGGCGAAAGCGGCUCUCUGGUCUGUAACUGACGCUGAGGUUCGAAAGCGUGGGUAGCAAACAGGAUUAGAUACCCUAGUAGUC